rnacentral:rRNA from 1 species
GUAGGUGGCAAGCGUUGUCCGGAAUUAUUGGGCGUAAAGCGCGCGCAGGCGGUUCUUUAAGUCUGAUGUGAAAGCCCACGGCUCAACCGUGGAGGGUCAUUGGAAACUGGAGAACUUGAGUACAGAAGAGGAAAGCGGAAUUCCACGUGUAGCGGUGAAAUGCGUAGAGAUGUGGAGGAACACCAGUGGCGAAGGCGGCUUUCUGGUCUGUAACUGACGCUGAGGCGCGAAAGCGUGGGGAGCAAACAGGGAUUAGAUACCCUGGUAGUCCACGCCGUAAACGAUGAGUGCUAAGUGUUGGGGGGGGUUUUCCCGCCCCCUUAGUGCUGCAGCUAACGCAUUAAGCACUCCGCCUGGGGAGUACGGCCGCAAGGCUG